rnacentral:rRNA from 1 species
GGACGGGAUAAGUGCUGAAAGCAUCUAAGCAUGAAGCCCCCCUCAAGAUGAGAUUUCCCAACUUCGGUUAUAAGAUCCCUCAGAGAUGAUGAGGUUAAUAGGUUCGAGGUGGAAGCGUGGUGACACGUGGAGUUGACGAAUACUAAUCGAUCGAAGACUUAAUCAAUUU